rnacentral:rRNA from 1 species
CGGGGGGCAGCAGUGGGGAAUAUUGGACAAUGGGGGCAACCCUGAUCCAGCAAUGCCGCGUGUGUGAAGAAGGUCUUCGGAUUGUAAAGCACUUUCGACGGGGACGAUGAUGACGGUACCCGUAGAAGAAGCCCCGGCUAACUUCGUGCCAGCAGCCGCGGUAAUACGAAGGGGGCUAGCGUUGCUCGGAAUGACUGGGCGUAAAGGGCGCGUAGGCGGCGGCGUAAGUCAGAUGUGAAAUUCCUGGGCUUAACCUGGGGGCUGCAUUUGAGACUGCGAUGCUAGAGGAUGGAAGAGGCUCGUGGAAUUCCCAGUGUAGAGGUGAAAUUCGUAGAUAUUGGGAAGAACACCGGUGGCGAAGGCGGCGAGCUGGUCCAUUACUGACGCUGAGGCGCGAUAGCGUGGGGAGCAAACAGGAUUAGAUACCCCAGU